rnacentral:piRNA from 1 species
UGACCAGAAGCUUGUGCAACACAGGAAGAG